GGGCAACUAUGAUGACAAUUUCAUUCUGUAUGUAAUAUAUUUUGUUACUAAAUGAGGACAACAGUCCCUCUAAACUGAUGUUGCCA
ensembl:snoRNA Gm25970 predicted gene, 25970